rnacentral:rRNA from 1 species
UACGUAGGGGGCAAGCGUUGUCCGGAAUCAUUGGGCGUAAAGGGCGCGUAGGCGGCCCCUGUGUGUCGGGUGUGAAAGCCCACCUCUUAAAGGUGGAAUUGCAUCGAAACUACAGGGCUGGAGUGUCGGAGAGGAUGGCGGAAUUCCUGGUGUAGAGGUGAAAUUCGUAGAUAUCAGGAGGAACACCGGUGGCGAAGGCGGCCAUCUGGACGACAACUGAC